rnacentral:lncRNA from 1 species
UGGCCUGAUGACGAGGACUGGAGAUGCUGCAGCAGAGGAGUUCACCGCACCCCACGUCUGCACGGAUUGGUUGAUGGCACUCCUGAUGACCGCCUUCACUGUUCCCUUCUCAGCCACGGGAUGAAAGCCAGCCUUUAAGAAAUGGCUAUGUUGCAUUUGCACGUGUCAGGUUGCUGCUUUUGCCGUAGUGCUAUUAAACAGUAGAAACCGUGCCGCAACGGCAUAAAUGGCUCAUGUACUGAGCGGGUAAAAGAAUGCAUACGUGUGUUCGUAUU